CGCACCUUUCGGGGUGAGUGGCGGACGGGUGAGUAACGCGUGAGAAUCUGCCUUUUGGUCGGGGACAACCACUGGAAACGGUGGCUAAUACCGGAUGUGCCUACGGGUAAAAGAUUUAUUGCCAGAAGAAGAGCUCGCGUCUGAUUAGCUAGUUGGUGAGGUAAAGGCUCACCAAGGCAUCGAUCAGUAGCUGGUCUGAGAGGAUGACCAGCCACACUGGGACUGAGACACGGCCCAGACUCCUACGGGAGGCAGCAGUGGGGAAUUUUCCGCAAUGGGCGAAAGCCUGACGGAGCAAGACCGCGUGAGGGAGGAAGGCUCUUGGGUUGUAAACCUCUUUUGUCAGGGAAGAAGAAAGUGACGAUACCUGACGAAUCAGCAUCGGCUAACUCCGUGCCAGCAGCCGCGGUAAUACGGAGGAUGCAAGCGUUAUCCGGAAUUAUUGGGCGUAAAGCGUCCGCAGGUGGCACUUCAAGUCUGUCGUCAAAGACCGGGGCUUAACCCUGGAAAGGCGAUGGAAACUGAAAGGCUAGAGAGAGGUAGGGGUAGAGGGAAUUCCCAGUGUAGCGGUGAAAUGCGUAGAGAUUGGGAAGAACAUCGGUGGCGAAAGCGCUCUACUGGACCUCAUCUGACACUCAGGGACGAAAGCUAGGGGAGCGAAUGGGAUUAGAUACCCCAGUAGUCCUAGCCGUA
rnacentral:rRNA from 1 species